AAAAAGACAAACCCUGAAUUUUCGUGUCCAACUUUAACUGUCCGUCUUAUAUAAAUUUUUUUUAUAAUUUAUAUUUUCAUUGUUGUUAGAUGAUAAAACAUAAUUAAUAUUUUAUGCGUGACUUGUCUUUUUAAUUAUUUUUUCAUAAUUUUUUCAAAUAAGACAGACGGUCAAACGUUAGACACAGAAACC
rnacentral:pre_miRNA from 1 species